UCUCGGCAGUUCUUAACAUGCUCAACAACUCAGUAAGGGGUUUCUCAAUUUCAUUCAUAAGAUAGUUCAUAACAAAUUGAGAGUAGCUGCUGUUCAAAGAUUGCAAAACAAGGUCAGUUUGGGCCUCCGGAGUAAUUGAAAAACCCAACCUAUCAAGGUACUCAAUAUACCGAAUCAUUUUCAGCACAUGUGGACCAACUGGAUCACGUUCACCCAUUUUGCAGUGAUACAACGCCUUGCUUGUAUCAUACCUCUCCUGUCGAGCAUGCCCUUCGAACAAUUUCUUGAGAUGCUCGAUCAUCUCAUAAGCAUCCAUCAACUCAUGUUGCUUCUGAAGCUCAGCGUUCA
rnacentral:lncRNA from 1 species